UUUGAGAGACAUUUUUUAAUGGCACUUAGGAAUUAUGGCUGAAGUCCGGCCGUGGCAUUUGAUGUUGCUCAGGUCCCUUGAUGCCGAGAGUCUUCAAGCUGGUGUGAGUUGCAUCUUUUAAAACACCGACCGAAGGUUCAUGCUUGUCACUUAAGCGCUGGGGAGGUGGGAACAGGCAGAUCUCUUGGGCCUGCUGGCCAGCAAGCCCAGUCUAAUACUGGGUGAACCUGAAGCCAGUCCCCGGCUCACAAAAUAAGGUGGACGGCA
rnacentral:lncRNA from 1 species